rnacentral:lncRNA from 1 species
GGGAUGUGGAGUGCUGGGAAUGUGGGAUCCCAUCCCGGCGGGGAUUUGGGAUCCCAUUUUCCCAGGGAUCCAUCCCAUUUUCCAGGGAAUUCCGGCCCCCAUUUUCCCGGGAAUUCGGGCCCCCAUUUUCCCGGGAAUUCCGGCCCCCAUUUUCCCAGGGAUCCAUCCCAUUUUCCCGGGAAUUCCGGCCCCUGUUUUCCCAGGGAUCCAUCCCGUUUUCCAGGGAUCCAUCCCGUUUUCCAGGGAAUUCCAGCCCCCAUUUUCCCGGGAAUUCCGGCCCCUGUUUUCCCGGGGAUCCAUCCCGUUUUCCCGGGAAUUCCAGCCCCGUUUUCCCGGGAAUCCGGGCCCCCAUCCCGCCGGGAAUUCCGGCCCGCGCUGCCCGGGCUCAGACGAGAUGAGUCCUGGCACAUCCCCGCUCCCCCCCCCGCUCCUCCCGGCGCCAAGAACUAUUUUGGGAUCCAGGAAUUCGGGACUCCGGGGACACGAAACCCCCCCCAAAAAACCGGGAUGGGAAUUCCCGGAGGGAAAUCGGGCCUGGAUUCCUCCCCGAACACCCCCGGCCCCGCCGGUAUUCCCGGGAUUUGGCGUUUCCCAGGGGAUCGGUGCCGGUUCUCCGCCAGCAUUCCCGGGAAGAGGCCGGGAGAGCUCGGGAAUCGCUGCCAGCCCUUUCCCGCUCUCUUCCCGCUUUUCCCUGGAACAGCCGGAGCUGUGGGAUCACGGAAUUCCAGGAUUUUUAUUAUUUCUGGGAAGAAUUCCAACAGCCGUCCCCAAAUCCCCGCCUCGUCGCCGUCCAGGUGACACCUCCCGCUUUUCCCUGGAUUCCGGGAAUCCCGGGAAUUUUGGGGUUUGGGGGUCCCAGCUCGGUGUUAUCCCGGGGAUCCAGCCCCGUUUUCCCGGGAAUUCCAGCCCCCGUCUUCCCGGGGAUCCAGCCCCGUUUUCCCGGGAAUUCCGGCCCCCGUUUUCCCGGGAAUUCCGGCCCCCGUUUUCCCGGGAAUUCCGGCCCCCGUUUUCCCGGGGAUCCAGCCCCGUUUUCCCGGGAAUUCCGGCCCCCGUUUUCCCGGGAAUUCGGGCCCCCGUUUUCCCGGGGAUCCAGCCCCAUUUUCCCGGGAAUUCGGGCCCCCGUUUUCCCGGGAAUUCCGGCCCCCGUUUUCCCGGGGAUCCAUCCCAUUUUCCCGGGAAUUCCGGCCCCCGUUUUCCCGGGAAUUCCAUCCCCCGCUGCCGAUGUCACUCGGUGUCACCCCGGUGUCCCCGAGCCCGUUCGGUCCCAAUCCCCGUCCUCUAAUCCCGCAUUAAUUAAAUAUUCCAGCCCUUAAUUCCCCGUUAAUUGAAUCCUGCAGCUCCAAUCCCGGGGAUGGGCU